CCCUUAGAUGUCCGGGGCCGCACGCGCGCUACACUGAAGGAAUCAGCGUGGCUUUCUCCCUGACCCGAAAGGGUUGGGAAACCCGUUGAAUCUCCUUCGUGAUAGGGAUUGGGGCUUGAAAUUGUUCCCCAUGAACGAGGAAUUCCCAGUAAGCGCGAGUCAUAAGCUCGCGUUGAUUACGUCCCUGCCCUUUGUACACACCGCCCGUCGCUACUACCGAUUGAACGGUUUAGUGAGGGCCUCGGAUUGGUCUCGGCCCGCUCUUUACCGGGCGGCGCCGUUGGCCGAGAAGACGCUCGAACUUGAUCGUUUAGAGGAAGUAAAAGUCGUAACA
rnacentral:rRNA from 1 species